AUGAAGAAUGUGAGAAAAGGCUGUGUGCAGUACUGCUUCCCUUUUCCUGAUAGCACAUUAGGCAGAGGCCUACCUGCUGACUUGUCCCACGGGAGAUGCUGUGAACUACCUGCUCCCCUUGUCCCCAGAGACACUUGGCAGCAACGUGCAGUACAGCAGCUGAUGAACCAACCUGAGCUGGGAAGAGGCCCGGAGGUGCUGACACCAUGCUUUGUCCCUUCUCAGAGGACCAUGAACUUGGAGCUAAAGAGCCUUCAAAAUGAAGAAGAAAGAUGGAAUCCUGACCCAUCUGCACUCAAUGGGAAUUCUGCCUGCGAGCCAGGAUUUCAGUCUAAUAUCCAUCCAGCUGCCCAGGAUUGGAGGUGCUGCUAACAGCUUCAGAGCUGUGCUUUUGUCAAGCAUUUAACUCCGUGUGGAUUGAAACAUCUCCCACAGAGGCAUUCAUCUGUCGGGCUGCACCAGCACUCCUCCAUCCACUUUUCCUUUAUUCCAUCCCAUUUGCCUCCUUCAUUUCUUCUGCUGGCAGAAAUCAGAGCGGUGCUUUGUGUAGCAGCAGGGAAUGAUGGGAUGGAGGGCUGUGUGUCCCCGUUUGCUCGUUGGGGCCGAUUUGUGUUCGUUGUGUGGCUGUCCCGUUGGCAGAGCUUUCUGCACCCUCCAGGCCACGUCCUGACUCAGGCAGCAGCUCGAGGCCUUACCCUGAGCUACAGCUCAUCACCUCAUAGGGUUGCCCUGGGACCUGGCGGGCAGUUUGUGAACAGUGGGGUUCUAUUUGCAGCACAGAACACUGAGUGCUCGGUCUGGCUUUCUGUCCCGUCCCAUUGCCCUCUGCCUUCUCUGGCACCAGACAGGCGUCCAUCUGCGCCCUCACUUCUUUCUCUCCAUGUAGGUAUUCCUCUCUGUAUGAGGAUGUCUUAAUGAGGACUCGUGUGGGCACCGGGUGUCCGUACUGCUGUACAGUGUCAUUUGUGAGUGCGGAAGGAAUGCAUUCCAUGGGCUGAGCUGACUGGGGAAAGAAGUUGGGCAUUGGAUGAAAAUAGUAUCACUUUGGCAUUCUGUGUUUCCCAAACAGUUAUAAAUGUCACAUUUUUAUUCCGCGAGUUCCCCCCCCCCCCCCUUUUUUUUAAUUAAAUUAAAAGUAAUUCCGU
rnacentral:lncRNA from 7 species